GAUGAACGCUGACAGAAUGCUUAACACAUGCAAGUAAACCUGUGGCGGACGGGCGAGUAACGCGUAAAGAACUAGCAUCACAGCUAGGGACAACAUUUGGAAACGAAUGCUAAUACAAGAAACUGUGAGAGAGCUUUGCGUCCCAUUAGCUAGUUGGAGAGGUACCGGCUCACCAAGGCGAUGAUGGGUAGCCGGCCUGAGAGGGUGAUCGGCCACAAGGGGAACGAGACACAGCCCUUACUCCUACGGGGGGCAGGAGUGGGGAAUAUUGGACAAUGGACCAAAGUCUGAUCCAGCAAUUCUGUGUGCACGAUGAAGUUUUCGGAAUGUAAAGUGCUUUCAGUUGGGAAGCGGUACCAACAGAGGAAGUGACGGCUAAAUACGUGCCAGCAGCCGCGGUAAUAC
rnacentral:rRNA from 1 species